rnacentral:rRNA from 1 species
AGAAUCAACGCUGGCGGCGUGCCUAACACAUGCAAGUCGCACGAGAAAGGGACUUCGGUCCUGAGUAAAGUGGCGCACGGGUGAGUAACACGUGACUAACCUACCCUUGAGUGGGGGAUAACCUAGGGAAACCUGGGCUAAUACCGCAUAAGUACCUACGGGUCAAAGGAGCAAUUCGCUUUAGGAGGGGUCGCGGCAGAUUAGUUAGUUGGCGGGGUAAUGGCCCACCAAGACAGUGAUCUGUAU